CCUACGGGAGGCAGCAGUGAGGACUAUUGGUCAAUGGACGAGAGUCUGAACCAGCCAAGUAGCGUGAAGGCUGACUGCCCUAUGGGUUGUAAACUUCUUUUAUAUGGGAAUAAAACGUUCCACGUGUGGGAUUUUGUAUGUACCCUAUGACUAAGGAUCGGCUAACUCCGUGCCAGCAGCCGCGGUAAUACGGAGGAUCCGCGCGUUAUCCGGAUUUAUUGGGUUUAAAGGGAGCGUAGGUGGAUUGUUAAGUCAGUUGUGAAAGUUUGCGGCUCAACCGUAAAAUUGCAGUUGAAACUGGCAGUCUUGAGUACAGUAGAGGUGGGCGGAAUUCGUGGUGUAGCGGUGAAAUGCUUAGAUAUCACGAAGAACUCCGAUUGCGAAGGCAGUUCACUGGACUGCAACUGACACUGAGGCUCGAAAGUGUGGGUAUCAAACAGGAUUAGAUACCCGAGUAGUC
rnacentral:rRNA from 1 species